GAUGAACGCUGGCGGCGUGCUUAACACAUGCAAGUCGAACGGUGAAGCAGGAGCUUGCUCCUGUGGAUCAGUGGCGAACGGGUGAGUAACACGUGAGCAAUCUGCCCUGGACUCUGGGAUAAGCGUUGGAAACGACGUCUAAUACCGGAUACGAGGCGUGGGGGCAUCCCCAACGCCUGGAAAGAACUUCGGUCCAGGAUGAGCUCGCGGCCUAUCAGGUAGUUGGUGAGGUAACGGCUCACCAAGCCUACGACGGGUAGCCGGCCUGAGAGGGGGACCGGCCACACUGGGACUGAGACACGGCCCAGACUCCUACGGGAGGCAGCAGUGGGGAAUAUUGCACAAUGGGCGCAAGCCUGAUGCAGCAACGCCGCGUGAGGGACGACGGCCUUCGGGUUGUAAACCUCUUUUAGCAGGGAAGAAGCGAAAGUGACGGUACCUGCAGAAAAAGCACCGGCUAACUACGUGCCAGCAGCCGCAGUAAGAC
rnacentral:rRNA from 1 species